GAGUUUGAUCAUGGCUCAGAACGAACGCUGGCGGCAUGCCUAACACAUGCAAGUCGAACGCCCUCUUUUAGAGGGAGUGGCGCACGGGUGCGUAACGCGUGGGAACCUGCCCUUAGGUUCGGAAUAACUCAGAGAAAUUUGAGCUAAUACCGGAUAAUGUCUUCGGACCAAAGAUUUAUCGCCUUUGGAUGGGCCCGCGUAGGAUUAGAUAGUUGGUGGGGUAAUGGCCUACCAAGUCGACGAUCCUUAGCUGGUCUGAGAGGAUGAUCAGCCACACUGGGACUGAGACACGGCCCAGACUCCUACGGGAGGCAGCAGUGGGGAAUAUUGGACAAUGGGCGAAAGCCUGAUCCAGCAAUGCCGCGUGAGUGAUGAAGGCCUUAGGGUUGUAAAGCUCUUUUACCAGGGAUGAUAAUGACAGUACCUGGAGAAUAAGCUCCGGCUAACUCCGUGCCAGCAGCCGCGGUAAUACGGAGGGAGCUAGCGUUGUUCGGAAUUACUGGGCGUAAAGCGCACGUAGGCGGCUUUUCAAGUCAGGGGUGAAAUCCCGGGGCUCAACCCCGGAACUGCCCUUGAAACUGGAUGGCUAGAAUACUGGAGAGGUGAGUGGAAUUCCGAGUGUAGAGGUGAAAUUCGUAGAUAUUCGGAAGAACACCAGUGGCGAAGGCGACUCACUGGACAGUUAUUGACGCUGAGGUGCGAAAGCGU
rnacentral:rRNA from 1 species